CGUGGGUGUCGUGCGUCGCAUGCGGUUCUUGGAACGUCUGAGUGAUGAUCAUAUUGAACGGCGUGUAAUUAACAGUAAAUGUGUUGUUCAGAGAAUUGAUGUGUCCUGACGAUUAUACAUUCCUUAAUCGCACAUUCUGCACUUCUGCACCGCCGCCAUCCUCCUGUUGGCGAAUUUUGAUGCUGGAUUUUUUCUUUCGAGGUCGAGGCCGCAUGUUUCAUUGUGUGCAUCCGUCAAAUUUUGUUACAUUUCGUCCGGUGCAUGACGCGCUGAGGAGUUCUGCACUCCUCACGUUAUUUUAUGGCCACCCAGUACAUUAGAUACGGAAUUUUUCUCCUAC
rnacentral:lncRNA from 1 species